rnacentral:rRNA from 1 species
GCGGAGUGCAUGGGAGGGCAACAGGCACCUGAAUAAACAAAAACGACUCUCGGCAACGGAUAUCUCGGCUCUCGCAUCGAUGAAGAACGUAGCGAACUGCGAUACUUGGUGUGAAUUGCAGAAUCCCGUGAACCAUCGAGUCUUUGAACGCAAGUUGCGCCCGAA